AUUGAACGCUGGCGGCAGGCUUAACACAUGCAAGUCGAGCGGGGGAGGUUGCUUCGGUAACUGACCUAGCGGCGGACGGGUGAGUAAUGCUUAGGAAUCUGCCAUUUAGUGGGGGACAACAUUCCGAAAGGAAUGCUAAUACCGCAUACGUCCUACGGGAGAAAGCAGGGGAUCUUCGGACCUUGCGCUAAGUGAUGAGCCUAAGUCGGAUUAGCUAGUUGGUGGGGUAUAGGCCUACCAAGGCGACGAUCUGUAGCGGGUCUGAGAGGAUGAUCCGCCACACUGGGACUGAGACACGGCCCAGACUCCUACGGGAGGCAGCAGUGGGGAAUAUUGGACAAUGGGCGGAAGCCUGAUCCAGCCAUGCCGCGUGUGUGAAGAAGGCCUUAUGGUUGUAAAGCACUUUAAGCGAGGAGGAGGCUACCUAGAUUAAUACUCUAGGAUAGUGGACGUUACUCGCAGAAUAAGCACCGGCUAACUCUGUGCCAGCCGCCGCCGUAAGAC
rnacentral:rRNA from 1 species